UACGAAGGGGGCUAGCGUUGCUCGGAAUUACUGGGCGUAAAGGGCGCGUAGGCGGACAGUUUAGUCAGAGGUGAAAGCCCAGGGCUCAACCUUGGAAUUGCCUUUGAUACUGGCUGUCUUGAGUUCGGGAGAGGUGAGUGGAAUGCCGAGUGUAGAGGUGAAAUUCGUAGAUAUUCGGCGGAACACCAGUGGCGAAGGCGACUUACUGGACACAUAUUGACGCUGAGGUGCGAAAGCGUGGGGAGCAAACAGG
rnacentral:rRNA from 1 species